rnacentral:lncRNA from 1 species
GGGCUUGGGCUCGUGCCGUGCUUGAAGCGGGCUUGGGCCAUGGGCUGGCCCGGUCCAUAGGACCUAUUUUUUGAUCCCGGCCCGGCCCAAGUUUUCGUGUCGUGUCGAGCACGGCCCUUUAAUAUUCAUGCUUGUGCCGUGCCGUGCCGUACCUCAUUUAAACGGACUGGGCUCGUGCCGUGCUGGGCCAGCCCGUCCCGUUUGAC